rnacentral:rRNA from 1 species
CGUAGGGGCAAGCGUUGUCCGGAAUCAUUGGGCGUAAAGAGCGUGUAGGCGGCCUGAUAAGUCGGCUGUGAAAGUCAAGGGCUCAACCCUUGAAUGCCGGCCGAUACUGUCAGGCUAGAGUCCGGAAGAGGCGAGUGGAAUUCCUGGUGUAGCGGUGAAAUGCGCAGAUAUCAGGAGGAACACCUAUGGCGAAGGCAGCUCGCUGGGACGGUACUGACGCUGAGACGCGAAAGCGUGGGAGCGAACAGGAUU